rnacentral:tRNA from 1 species
GGAUUGUAGCUCAGAGAUAGAGUGCUUGCCUUGCACACGUGAGGUCCUGGUUCGAUCCUCAGCACCA